UUUUACCAUUACCUUCAUUGUUUUCUGAAUGAUUAUUAUUAUCUUUUUUGCUUGAUUUGCGUUGGGUUCAUAAAGUGACAAAGUUAGAAACAAGCAUAGGGUUAAGCUAGGGCUUUCUUUAUUUAUACCCAUAAUCUUUCCUUCACUGAUGGGACUCCAACCGAACCAACCCAGGGCAAACAUCAACUAGAAAAGAGGGAAUCGAGCAAGAGGGAGAUUUGAGCGUGAGGGACUGUUGUUGAGCAAGAGAUAGUGAGAGAGAUCAGAGGGUAAACUAAAAACAUUAGCCCCAAGCCCAAUUUUUCUCUCAAUUUUAGUUUAACAAGUCCACGAGCCUGAUAAUUUUAAAUCAACGAACCUGUCUACACUCUGUGCUGUUUGCAUAAUUGCUCUAUUAGGUGACCUCAUUCAUGACUUAGACCGGCCUUAAAGCCCAAUAACUUACGUUCCCUUAACUCGUCCUAGUAAAUAGGGUUUUGGCACCCUUUUCCCUGAAGUGCUUUGUGGAUGGGACGUUGCAAAUGAAUGUUAUUUGAAGUUUGUUACAUUCCAAAACUGAGUCUAAUAGGUAUUUGAACUUUCAAUUUUAGAUCCUUAAAAAAAAAUUUAAUUUUAAUUUUAUAUCUAGAUCUAUAAAUUUUUUUGUAGUUCCUAAAUUAUAUAGAGAUAAACUGGAGGAUCUAAUAUUUAAUAGGAAAUAUUUCAUAAUGGGAGUAUGAAUUGUAAAGAGUUGAGUGGGGGCCAUAUUUGUGAUUGAUCAUUGGUGGGAGCACAUGGAUGCAUCAGCCAAAUUGCAACUCAUUGGAUUCUUCAUCAGUUAACUUUAAGGCCAUUCCAAAAUUUAAAGUUGCAGCCAUAUGCCUAUCCCCAUUCCCUUUGACGUGGUCCUGAAACACAGUUCGUCUUUGUGCUUAUUUUUUUUACCUUGGCAGCACAAGAUAAAUGUGUAAUAUUCUCUACUUUUUUUUAGCUCCUUUUUGUUAAGAACAUUCCAAUUUCUUUUGGAAGCUCAAGCUUUCAAGUCAAGUUGGUAAUGAAAUGACCUCAAGCUCAAAACUUUUCUUGCAA